GCCAGUGUGGCAUAGUGGUUUGAGUGUUGGACUAUGACUCUGAAGGCCAGGAUUUGAUUCCCUGCUUGGCC